rnacentral:rRNA from 1 species
UACAGAGGAGCCAAGCGUUGUCCGGAUUGACUGGGCGUAAAGCGCACGCAGGCGGAUGCGCGCGUGGGGUGUGAAAUCUGGCCGCUUAACGGCCAGGCGCCAUCCCAUACGGCGCGUCUGGAGCCUUGCAGAGGUCGGUGGAAUUGCCGGUGUAGUGGUGAAAUGCGUAGAGAUCGGGAGGAACACCCGUGGCGAAGGCGGCCAUCUGGACCAGCACUGACGCUGAGGCACGGAAAGCGUGGGGAGCAAACAGG